GGCAUUCAUGAAACCAUGUCCCUGUUCUUUCUCUGCAGGUGACUGGAUCAGAGUGAUGCCAGGCCCUCUGCAGCCAUUUUGUGUCCAUGAGAAGAGCUAGUCCAGAGACAAAGUGGACAUUCAGAGAAGGACACAAAGGAGCAAAUCCCAAUCCCUAGAGGCAUUCCAUCAGUUCACCCACCCCCUGGGCUUUGCACAAGAUGGAGAUCUGAGGUCUGGGCCUGAAACCACAUGCUUCAACCAUCUGACAGCAUUUACUCCUGCACCAGGUUCCAGAUUCUGGAGAAAAGGGCUCAGAAAAGUCCUCCAUAAGGUCCCUCCUCCGAUAAGACUUCUUCCUGCAGAAUCACAUCUCCAUUAAGAGCAUGCCAGGCAAAUGCUACCAACGAAUGGGAACCAGCACACUAGGUUAAACACAUUAUACAGGGGAUGACCCAUGAUGUAAAGCUGAGUGGAAGGAAGCCCAAUAGUAAGUACAGCACAAAAUAGUUCUUAAAAGGAGAAACUAAGCAUGCUGGUGCAAAUGAUAAAUGUAGGAAAGUGACAUCUCCUAGGGGUGUGUGUGUGUGUGUGUGUGUGUGUGUGUGUGUGUGUGUGUGGUUGGGAUUGCAAUGUUCCUUUUCUCUUUUGUGUUGCCUCUGCACUGAGUGGCUACUCAUUUGAUGCAUAUGCUCAUUGAGCAUCUAUUAUGUGCCAGUCCUCUAUUAGGGAUGCAAGGAUGAUCAAGAUUAAUG
rnacentral:lncRNA from 1 species